rnacentral:lncRNA from 1 species
AAAUACUUUUCUUUUGUCUGUCGAUGAUCCUCAUGUCUGUUUUGGAUGUGUAUUAAAGUCACAGAAUCACAGAAUUGUAGGGGUUGGAAAGGACCUCGAAAGAUCAUCGGGUCCAACCCCACUGCUAAAGCAGGUUCCUUAGAGCUGGCUGCCCAGGUAGUUGUCCAGACAGGCCUUAAAUAUCUCCAGAGAAGGAGAUUCCACAGCCUCCCUGGGCGGCCUGUCCCAGUGCUCCAUCACCCUCACCAUGAAGAAGUUCUUUCGCAUGUUGGUGUGGAACUUCCUGUGCUCCAUCUUGUGGCCAUUGCCCCUUGUCCUGUCCCCAUAAACCACUGAAAAGGGGUUGGCCAAAAGUCCCCUUUCUUCCUCUUAAUGUGACUAUCAUUCACAACUUUUCCCAUUAUAUUAUUUAUUUAAAAAAAGCUUAUUUCUUUUUUUUUUUUUUUUCCUGUUGUGAACUGGCAAGACAUGCAUACCUAGUGUGGUGGUUUUACUCAAGUGGGCAGCCGAGCUCCACCACCACUGCUCUCACACUCCCCCUCUCCUCAAAGAGGAAGGGGGAGAAAAUACAACACAAAGAAGUUGAGGUUUGGGAUGAGAAAGGCUUAAUUAAAGGGAAAGGGAAUGGGGAGAAAAAGGAAAAAAAAAAAAACAAUAAGGCCACGCGGAAGCACAGAGAGAAGGAAAAGAAAUUCUCUACUUCCCAUCAACAAGCGAUGUUUGGCCAUGUCCUGGGAAGCAGGGCCUCAAAAUGCAUAGUGGUUGUUCAGAAGGGACAGGUCCCUCCUCCACGAGAGCCCCCCUUUUUAUUGCUGAGUGUGACAUCAGGUGUUAUGGAAUAUCCCUUUGGUCAGUUUAGGUCAGCUGUCCUGGCGAUGUCCCCUCCCCAUCGGUUGCCCACCCCCAGCCUGCUGGCUCUUGGGGGCUUGGAAGGAGUCCUGGUCCUGUGCCAGCACCAUGCAGCAGUGGACACAACACUGGAGUGAUGCCAGUGCUGCUCCAGCUACGAGUGCAGAGCACAGCAC